CCUUGCAAUUCCAUUAUAUUCACAAAUGUAUUUUUUGAAAUCAUGUACAAUAUUUUCUCUGAAACGUCGUUUUUUUUAUGCUUAGCACAUGAUUUAUACCAGAAUGCACCAUUAACUAAUGUUUUGAAAACCUGGAAUUUCUUACAAAAUGUGCUCUCAGAAUGCUACAAAUGCCAUUUCAGGGAUCCAAAUUUUAAACAUUUUCUGGGGGGCACGUCCCCAGACCCCCCUACAAAUUUCGUGCCUUCGGCACUCGCCCCCCCCCCCCAAAAAAAAAAAAAAUUCGCAAAGUUUCCGCCACUGCUGAGUGAGUGAGGUUAACUUGUGAUACAACAGUAACAACACUCAUCAUUGCUCAUCAGCAAAACAUUUUAUUCAUCAGUUACACGCCUUUUUAGCAAGUUUAAAUUUUAAGCAACUAACUAUUAAUGAAAAAUCAUGGUGCCCGCGAUCAGCCGGCGCAUAAGUUGACCUCACUUGGGGUUAUAGAUUCAUGUCUGGGUUAGGUUAAAACGCGGAAGCGGAUGCGGAACGGAUAUGCGGAACGGAACGGAUAUGGGUUAAAAUGCGGAACGGAACGGAUAUGCGGAACAGAACGGAUAUGGGGUUAAAAUGCGGAACGGAACGGAUAUGCGGAACGGAUAUGGGGUUGAAAUGCGGAACGGAACGGAUAUGCGGAACGGAACGGAUAUGGGGUUAUAAUGCGGAACGGAACGGAUAUGGGGUUAAAAUGCGGAACGGAUAUGGGGUUAAAACGCGGAAUGGAACGGGAAUAAAUCGUUUUUUAAAAACAGACAUGAUUUUUCAUGUUCCGCGUUUUACCCCCAUAUCCGUUCCGUUCCGCAUUUUAACCCCAUAUCCGUUCCGUUCCGCAUUUUAACCCCAUAUCCGUUCCGUUCCGCAUUUUAACCCCAUAUCCGUUCCGUUCCGUUCCGCAUAUCCGUUCCGUUCCGCAUUUUAACCCCAUAUCCGUUCCGUUCCGCAUCCGUUCCGUUCCGCAUCCGCUUCCGCGUUUUAACCUAACCCAUUCAUGUCUCGCUAUUUAUAAUGCUAACCCUAAUCCCCACCCUAAACCUAACCCUAAACGCUAACCCUAUUAGCGAGACAUGAAUUCACUUGGCGCACGGUAACACUACCUCAGAUUAUCUUCGGCGUGAGGUUUACACGGAAUGCACCCUGG